rnacentral:rRNA from 1 species
UACAGAGACUGCAAGCGUUUAUUCGGAUUCACUGGGCGUAAAGGGUGCGCAGGCGGCCAAGUGUGUCAGGUGUGAAAUCCCGAGGCUUAACCUCGAAACUGCGCCUGAAACUACUUGGCUAGAGUACUGGAGAGGGUAACGGAAUUCACGGUGUAGCAGUGAAAUGCGUAGAUAUCGUGAGGAACACCAGAGGCGAAGGCGGUUACCUGGACAGUUACUGACGCUCAGGCACGAAAGCGUGGGGAGCAAAAGGG